rnacentral:rRNA from 1 species
CUGGCUCAGGAUGAACGCUAGCGGCAGGCUUAACACAUGCAAGUCGAGGGGCAUCGGGAGUAGCAAUACUUGCCGGCGACCGGCGCAAGGGUGCGUAACGCGUGAGCAACAUGCCCGUAUCAGGGGGAUAAUCCAUGGAAACGUGGUCUAAUACCCCAUAGUAAUUAUGUAAGGCAUCUUAUAUAAUUUAAAGCUUUGGUGGAUACGGAUUGGCUCGCGUGACAUUAGCUGGAUGGUAAGGUAACGGCUUACCAUGGCUACGAUGUCUAGGGGUUCUGAGAGGAAGGUCCCCCACACUGGAACUGAGACACGGUCCAGACUCCUACGGGAGGCAGCAGUGAGGAAUAUUGGACAAUGGAUGGAAAUCUGAUCCAGCCAUGCCGCGUGCCAGGAAGACGGCCCUAUGGGUUGUAAACUGCUUUUGUAUGGGAGCAAUAAGGGCUACGUGUAGUCCGAUGAGAGUACCAUACGAAUAAGCACCGGCUAACUCCGUGCCAGCCGCAGC